rnacentral:tRNA from 1 species
GGACUUGUAGCUCAGUUGGUAGAGCAGCUGACUCUUAAUCAGUAGGUCGGCGGUUCGAAUCCGCCCAAGUCCACCA